rnacentral:lncRNA from 1 species
CUUGAUUCCUAUGUGAACCUCUGACUUCAUUUCUUGCACUCUGCUCUCCUGACCAGUGUUUCUUUCCCAGGAGGAUCACCGAUGGACCUGCUGGGGGUUGUAAAAGUGCAGAUGCUAAACCUACAGAAGCAGAAUCUCCGAGGAGCCCCAAAUUUCAAAAUCGUUGUCUAGGGUAUUGGACACCAAUCAGUAAAGUGAGAGGAACCUGCUAGGUGGCCAUGUGAGCAUCACCUUUAUUAAACCAGAGAAGCUGAACUGAAGGACUGAACCUGAAUCUGCAAUCAUGCCUCCUUCCAGAAAGUUGUCUGCACGUCUGUCUUCACUCCGCACUAGACUGAGAGCCCCCGAGGGUAAUCCAUGUUCUGUUCUACCUGUCCGACAGCCUGCAUCGUUGCCUCCCUCAGCUUGAACACUGCGAUUCUGCCUCCUUGGUAUCUGUCCAUGCACGACACAUCGAAGGCUCUAAGAACAUCUUCGCAGAAUAAAUGUGCAGUUUCUCUAAAGCAAAAUCUCCUUCUACUUGGAGCCACCUAACAUGAAGCAUUCAUCGAGGCUUACUGACUAAGCACUGUGCCGUGGGCCAUGAGCAUCUCCGGCCUCAUAGACCUGACAUCUGUGGGAGACAAUCACAGAACUAUUUCACUGCAGCUGUGCUAAGUGUGCAGAUGAGAAGUGCAGGGUGCCCUGGGAGCUUCUAACUGAAGACCCUGACUGGUCUGGGGAGCCUGAAGAACCAGAAAACAGCUGGGGCUGGAGACCAAGAACGAGGAGGUCAGAGCCCCAGGGAGGCUGGAGAGUUGGCAAUACUGGAUUAUGCUGAGCCUUGAAAAUUCUAUGUGAAGAAUUUGGGUCUUUAUCAAAGGAGAAAUUGGAAGCCACUGUGGGAUUUUAAGCAGGGGGGAUAAUGUGAUUAAUUUUAUAUUUAAACAUAUCACUGUGGUUGCCAUUUAGAAGUGGUUUGGAGAUGGAGCCUGGAAGGCCAAGAAUCAGUGGAGAAUCUGUUGCAAUGUCCCAGAGGGGGUGUUCUGAAAAGAGAUGAUAAUGUUGGAGAAAGUGAGAAGUGAGUGGAGCUGUCUAGUGGUCACAUUAGCCGUACUUAUAUCUCUCAGUUUAAUCCUCUGCUAUUAUCUCUCCCUCCUCUCUCCUUAUUUAAAUGACAUCAUUUGCCUUCUUGAGCAUUUAUGAAGAAAAAGAACAGAAGAAGAAAAAUGGCUUCCUCUUUGUCACAGGAAUAACCCAUUUUCAGGCCGAAGAUUUGGUUUCAUUGCUUAAAGCCACUGGCUUUAAAUUUUACUCUGGGUGAGGGAGGCAAACCUCCUUUUUGGUUUUGUUUUGUUUUGUUCUGUUUUUGAUAUCUCCAAGUCCCACCAGAAAUUGACCUUUUUGUUGAAAAGGAUGCUAGGCUUGUGGUAUCGACUGAAUUGAAUCCCUAACCCUCAAUGUGAUUUUGUUUAGAGAUGGGGCUUAUCAGGAGGUAAUAAAGGUUGAGUGAAGUCAUAAGGGUGGAAUCUUAAUUCAGUGUG